GACGAACGCUGGCGGCGUGCUUAACACAUGCAAGUCGAACGGAAAGGCCCUGCUUUUGUGGGGUGCUCGAGUGGCGAACGGGUGAGUAACACGUGAGUAACCUGCCCUUGACGUUGGGAUAACUUCAGGAAACUGGUGCUAAUACCGGAUAGGAGCUCCUGCUGCAUGGUGGGGGUUGGAAAGUUUCGGCGGUUGUGGAUGGACUCGCGGCUUAUCAGCUUGUGGGUGGGGUAGUGGCUUACCAAGGCUUUGACGGGUAGCCGGCCUGAGAGGGUGACCGGCCACAUUGGGACUACGAUACGGCCCAGACUCGUACGGGAGGCAGCAGUGGGGAAUAUUGCACAAUGGGCGGACGCCUGAUGCAGAAACGCUGCGUGCGGGAUGACGGCCUUCGGGUUGUAAACCGCUUUAGCCUGUGACGAAGCGUGAGUGACGGUAAUGGGUAAAGAAGCACCGGCUAACUACGUG
rnacentral:rRNA from 1 species